CUCGUAGGCGGUUCGUCGCGUCCGGUGUGAAAGUCCAUCGCUUAACGGUGGAUCCGCGCCGGGUACGGGCGGGCCUGAGUGCGGUAGGGGAGACUGGAAUUCCCGGUGUAACGGUGGAAUGUGUAGAUAUCGGGAAGAACACCAAUGGCGAAGGCAGGUCUCUGGGCCGUUACUGACGCUGAGGAGCGAAAGCGUGGGGAGCGAACA
rnacentral:rRNA from 1 species